rnacentral:tRNA from 1 species
GGGGAUGUAGCUCAGUGGUAGAGUACUUGCCUGGCAUACAUGAGUUCCUGGGUUUGAUCCUCAGCAUCACCA